rnacentral:rRNA from 1 species
AAAUGAAUAGACGGGCACCCGCACAAGCGGUGGAGCAUGCUGUUUAAUUCGAAUCAACGCGCAGAACCUUACCUAGGCUUGACAUCCUUGGCAAAGCUAUAGAGAUAUAGUGGAGGCUAUCCAAGUGACAGGUGGUGCAUGGUUGUCGUCAGCUCGUGUCGUGAGAUGUUCGGUUAAGUCCGUUAACGAGCGCAACCCUUAUCUUUAGUUACUAACAUUUAGUUGAGGACUCUAAAGAGACUGCCGGUAACAAACCGGAGGAAGGUGGGGAUGACGUCAAAUCAUCAUGCCCCUUAUGUCUAGGGCAACAGGCGUGCUACAAUGGCUGGUACAAAGAGUCGCAAUACCGUGAGGUGGAGCCAAUCUCCAAAGCCAGUCUCAGUUCGGAUUGAAGUCUGCAACUCGACUUCAUGAAGCUGAAAUCGCUAGUAAUCCCAGAUCAGAAUGCUGGGGUGAAUACGUUCUCGGGUGUUGUACACACCGCCCGU